GUUUUGAAUAAUUAUUAAUUUAGCCGACAAGAAACAACUUAAAUCAUUUAAAAUUUCUCAAUUAAGAGUCAAGUUUUUCAUCUGACAUUAACGCAUUAGAUAUGUGUAAUUACUUAAUGUGGUGUGUGUAUUUAUACAUCGAAGAUUUAUGCAAUUAGCACUGGAAGUAUUAUUCGAUUUUUCUUGACGUUGUGGGGUGCGCCAUCUUGAAAUG
rnacentral:lncRNA from 1 species